rnacentral:rRNA from 1 species
AAGGGUGCGUAGGCGGUUGAUAAAGUCUGUGGUUUAACAUAUGAGCUUAACUCAUAUCAGCCGUAGAAACUUAUCAACUUGAGUAUGGGAGAGGAAAGUGGAAUUCCUAGUGUAGCGGUGAAAUGCGUAGAUAUUAGGAGGGAUACCAGUGGCGAAGGCGACUUUCUGGACCAAAACUGACGCUGANGCACGAAAGCGUGGGGAGCAAACAGGAUUAGAUACCCUGGUAGUCCACGCCGUAAAC